ACGCUGUAGCUGAUGUUCUGAGAUCUUCAUCCAUGCUCCCCUCUUUAAAUCUGAGCACCUGCCCCACUAAAGGUCUCUGCACGGCCCUGGAGCUGUGACCGAAGUAUUUGGGGGCAGGAGAUGGAUAAUGGAUAAUGUACCCAAAUAUCCCACACCGGGCCACAGACCGCUUCCGCAUUUGGGAGGAAGCUGAUCAUUUCCUGUCUGUAACUGAAAGUGAAAUAUACUUGAAGCCAGAAUCGCCAUUUCAGCAAGAAACACGAAUAAGAUUCCGGAGGAUAUAAAGAUAUUUGUUUUGCAAGUUUAGGUGAAACUGAAACUACAGCAAAACCUUGAGUCACUGGUCUGAAGUGAUUUUACUCUGAAGUGGAUUUUCAGUACAAGAGAAAACAUCUGUUUAUUAAAGCAAGUUUACUGGUUUGCAGAGAAAAGUAUGGCAAGCUUGGCCGAUUUUUUAGAAUUUGUAGACGACUUCUGCACGUCUUUUGAAUGCUAUCUGGAGCAUGACGACACACGGAGAGGUAGUAGGACAUACAUCAUGUACCAUGGUACUACAUUAAGAGCUGCAUUAGAUAUUGAACAGAAUGGAUUUCAGCAGUCCAGCGAUGGCAUGCUUGGACCUGGAGUCUAUGUCAGUCGGAGCUUUGAGAAGGCCAAAGCUUACCCAAGAAAUCUACCCUUCUAUGAGCGGAAAGCUGUACUCAAGCUGAGGGUUCGAGUAGGAAAAGUAAAGAAGAUCGACCGGCAGGGACACCCCCUCCAAAAAACAUGGCAUGAUCAUGGAUAUGACACAGCCUGGGUGCCCCCCAACUGCGGAAUGGUUCCUAGCGGCUUGGAGGAAGAUUGUGUUUGGGAUCCCAGCAGGAUCGAAGUUUUAGGUAUAAUCCUGGGUGCAGAGCCUGUCCCAGCCAUUAUGGGUACCAAGGGAAAAACCACUCAGGAUGGGGCACCAAUCCACUGCAGGGAGCAGUCACACACCAGUCACUCACACUCCAUUCACUCACACACCAUACACUCACACACCAGUCACUCACACACCAUUCACUCACACACUAUUCACUCACACAUGCACAUCUAUGGGCAAUUUGGUAACUUCAAUAAAUCUCGGCAUGUUUUUGGUCUGUGGGAGGAAACGAGAGUAUCCAGAGGAAACCCCCACCUCAACCAAGAGGGAACAUGCAAACUUCACAUACUUGGAACACAGGCAGAGACCCAGGCAGAGACCCAGGCCCCAGAGGUGUGAGGUGACAGUGCUACCCACUGCACCACUGUGUGAAAUAUGCUACAUAACUUCAUAAUGGAAUGUUAUAUAACCAUCAAAUUUUAUGUUUAUGUCCUAUUAUAGAAGAUAAGAUUGUAAAAUCGUUUGUCAGCAGUGAAAUCUAACACUCUCAACCAAAAAGCCUAAGAGUGGCUGCUCUGUCCUGAAAUCGUACAGCUGUAGUGUUCAAGCGCAUUAUGUAUUUAAUAAAACAUUAAAUGAGUAAA